UCGUAACGCCUAGGGUUUUCUUA
rnacentral:siRNA from 1 species